rnacentral:rRNA from 1 species
CGCGAAUUCGCCCUUAGAGUUUGAUUAUGGCUCAAUUGAACGCUGGCGGCAGGCCUAACACAUGCAAGUCGAGCGGAUGAAGGGAGCUUGCUCCUGGAUUCAGCGGCGGACGGGUGAGUAAUGCCUAGGAAUCUGCCUGGUAGUGGGGGAUAACGUCCGGAAACGGGCGCUAAUACCGCAUACGUCCUGAGGGAGAAAGUGGGGGAUCUUCGGACCUCACGCUAUCAGAUGAGCCUAGGUCGGAUUA